rnacentral:rRNA from 1 species
UACGUAGGGUGCAAGCGUUAAUCGGAAUUACUGGGCGUAAAGCGUGCGCAGGCGGUCUUGCAAGACAGGUGUGAAAUCCCCGGGCUCAACCUGGGAACUGCAUUUGUGACUGCAUCGCUGGAGUGCGGCAGAGGGGGAUGGAAUUCCGCGUGUAGCAGUGAAAUGCGUAGAUAUGCGGAGGAACACCGAUGGCGAAGGCAAUCCCCUAGGCCUGCACUGACGCUCAUGCACGAAAGCGUGGGGAGCAAACAGG